rnacentral:rRNA from 1 species
GACGAACGCUGGCGGCGUGCUUAACACAUGCAAGUCGAACGGAAAGGCCCUGCUUUUGUGGGGUGCUCGAGUGGCGAACGGGUGAGUAACACGUGAGUAACCUGCCCUUGACUUUGGGAUAACUUCAGGAAACUGGGGCUAAUACCGGAUAGGAGCUCCUGCUGCAUGGUGGGGGUUGGAAAGUUUCGGCGGUUGGGGAUGGACUCGCGGCUUAGCAGCUUGUUGGUGGGGUAGUGGCUUACCAAGGCUUUGACGGGUAGCCGGCCUGAGAGGGUGACCGGCCACAUUGGGACUGAGAUACGGCCCAGACUCCUACGGGAGGCAGCAGUGGGGAAUAUUGCACAAUGGGCGGAAGCCUGAUGCAGAAACGCCGCGUGCGGGAUGACGGCCUUCGGGUUGUAAACCGCUUUCGCCUGUGACGAAGCGUGAGUGACGGUAAUGGGUAAAGAAGCACCGGCUAACUACGUG